CAAACCACCAAUGGUCAUGAAGAACAACACGCAUAUGCCGAACAAGAGUCUUAAACUUCUGCUGGAUAUGGGAUUCCUCUCUAGUUUCACCACCAUAAAAAGCAAUACUCUCUGCAUGAGUCCUUAAUCGUGAGUGAACCUGCCUAUACUCCCCUUCCAAUUGCUGUUCUUUAGACAUUAGUGUCCCAAAUGAAGGAGAGAAG
rnacentral:misc_RNA from 1 species